UUCCACUGCUCCGCCUCUCCCUUCACCGGCAGACACCGCUAAAACCCCUCCAUCAACCCUACUCCGCCGCCUCCAUCACAGCCCAGUUACCCAACUUCCCUCACCCACUCAAACCGACUCUCCAGAUCUCCCCACGCCCACUCCGCCCCCGAUCUCGCCCCUCCAUUACCAUGUCCUACAGCGCCGUCCCUGCCACCGAGCGCCUAAUCUCUGCCGCGGCCUACUGCCUCCCAUUCUUCAACGGCCUCCAGUACGGCAGAUUCCUCCUGAUGCAAUACCCAGCUCUAGGGCUGGUCUUGGAGCCCAUCCUCCCUAUCCUCUCCCU
rnacentral:lncRNA from 1 species